CCUACGGGUGGCAGCAGUGGGGAAUAUUGGACAAUGGGGGGAACCCUGAUCCAGCCAUGCCGCGUGUGUGAAGAAGGCCCUCGGGUUGUAAAGCACUUUCAGUGAGGAAGAACGCCUGGUGGUUAAUACCCAUCAGGAACGACAUCACUCACAGAAGAAGCACCGGCUAACUCCGUGCCAGCAGCCGCGGUAAUACGGAGGGUGCGAGCGUUAAUCGGAAUUACUGGGCGUAAAGCGCGCGUAGGUGGCUUGAUAAGCCGGUUGUGAAAGCCCCGGGCUCAACCUGGGAACGGCAUCCGGAACUGUCAAGCUAGAGUGCAGGAGAGGAAGGUAGAAUUCCCGGUGUAGCGGUGAAAUGCGUAGAGAUCGGGAGGAAUACCAGUGGCGAAGGCGGCCUUCUGGACUGACACUGACACUGAGGUGCGAAAGCGUGGGUAGCAAACAGGAUUAGAUACCCUUGUAGUC
rnacentral:rRNA from 1 species